GGCCCCGUAGCUCAGUGGUGAGGGCGCUGGUUUGGGAAAACCAGGGGUUGUGGGUUCAUAUCCCACUGGCGCCU